ACACACACGUGGCUUCUAAGUAUUAUCCUAUUUGGUUUCCCAAGGAACCUUUAACAUCAUCAUCUCUCAGGACUUAACUCUUGCAGCAAUGCAAACUAAUUUAGCCAAUCACCGCCUACAUUGAACCGGGUUUUCCUAAAUACGUCACUACAAUCUUGUAGUUUGUAAAGUUCUUUUAUUUCUUUUUAAAACGAUUUAUGGACCACCAACGACUUAUCCAAU